rnacentral:tRNA from 1 species
GGCCCGGUGAUGAAACUGGCAGACAUGCAGCGCUUAGGACGCUGUGCCGCGAGGUGUGCGGGUUCGAAUCCCGCCCGGGCCA